rnacentral:rRNA from 1 species
GACGAACGCUGGCGGCGUGCUUAACACAUGCAAGUCGAACGAAGAGCGACGGAAGCUUGCUUCUAUCAAUCUUAGUGGCGAACGGGUGAGUAACGCGUAAUCAACCUGCCCUUCAGAGGGGGACAACAGUUGGAAACGACUGCUAAUACCGCAUACGGUCUAACCUCGGCAUCGAGGAUAGAUGAAAGGUGGCCUCUACAUGUAAGCUAUCACUGAAGGAGGGGAUUGCGUCUGAUUAGCUAGUUGGAGGGGUAACGGCCCACCAAGGCGAUGAUCAGUAGCCGGUCUGAGAGGAUGAACGGCCACAUUGGGACUGAGACACGGCCCAGACUCCUACGGGAGGCAGCAGUGGGGAAUCUUCCGCAAUGGACGAAAGUCUGACGGAGCAACGCCGCGUGAGUGAUGACGGCCUUCGGGUUGUAAAGCUCUGUUAAUCGGGACGAAAGGCCUUCUUGCGAAUAGUGAGAAGGAUUGACGGUACCGGAAUAGAAAGCCACGGCUAACUACGUG